rnacentral:rRNA from 1 species
UACAGAGGGGGCAAGCGUUGUUCGGAAUUACUGGGCGUAAAGAGCUCGUAGGCGGCUUGUUGCGUCAGCUGUGAAAACCCGCAGCUCAACUGUGGGCUUGCAGCUGAUACGGGCAGGCUUGAGUUCGGUAGGGGAGACUGGAAUUCCUGGUGUAGCGGUGAAAUGCGCAGAUAUCAAGAGGAACACCUGCGGCGAAGGCGGGUUGCUGGGCCGACACUGACGCUGAGGCGCGAAAGCCAGGGGAGCGAACGGG